rnacentral:rRNA from 1 species
CUAAGGAAUAUUUCCGGCAAUGGAGGAAACUCUGACGGAGCGACGCCGCGUGGAUGAUGAAGGUCGGAAGAUUGUAAAAAUCCUUUUAUGACUGAGGAAUAAGCCGGGUGAGAGAAACGCCUGGUGGUGACUGUAGGUCAUGAAUAAGCAACGGCUAAUUACGUGCCAGCAGCCGCGGUAACACGUAAGUUGCGAGCGUUGUUCGGAAUUAUUGGGCGUAAAGGGCAUGUAGGCGGUAUUGCAAGCCUGGUGUGAAAGGCAGGGGCUCAACCUCUGGACUGCGCUGGGAACUGCGAUACUAGAGUCGCUGAGGGGCAAUCAGAAUUCC